rnacentral:rRNA from 1 species
GAUGAACGCUAGCGGCAGGCUUAAUACAUGCAAGUCGUGGGGCAGCAUGAGUAGCAAUACUUGAUGGCGACCGGCAAACGGGUGCGGAACAAGUACACAACCUUCCGAUAAGUGGGGAAUAGCCAAGAGAAAUUUGGAUUAAUACCCCGUAACAUAUAGAGUAGGCAUCUUCUUUAUAUUAUAGCUUCGGCGCUUAUUGAUGGUUGUGCGUCUGAUUAGGUAGUUGGCGGGGUAACGGCCCACCAAGCCUACGAUCAGUAGCUGAUGUGAGAGCAUGAUCAGCCACACGGGCACUGAGACACGGGCCCGACUCCUACGGGAGGCAGCAGUAAGGAAUAUUGGACAAUGGGCGAAAGCCUGAUCCAGCCAUGCCGCGUGAAGGAUUAAGGUCCUCUGGAUUGUAAACUUCUUUUAUUUGGGACGAAAAAAGGGAAUUCUUUCCCACUUGACGGUACCAAGUGAAUAAGCACCGGCUAACUCCGUGCCAGCAGCCGCGGUAA